UACGAGGGGGGCGAGCGUUGUUCGGAAUUAUUGGGCGUAAAGGGUGCGUAGGCGGCCUGACAAGUCUGAUGUGAAAUCCCUGGGCUCAACCCAGGGCCUGCAUCGGAAACUGUCGGGCUUGAGUAUGGGAGAGGUGAGUGGAAUUUCCGGUGUAGCGGUGAAAUGCGUAGAUAUCACUUGGAACGCCAAUGGUGAAAACAGACUGCUGGGGGUGUGCUGACGCUGAGACACGAAAGCCAGGGGAGCAAACGGG
rnacentral:rRNA from 1 species